CUUAAUAACAUCAACCCAAGGGUUGCGGGCUGUCUGAGAGGGACGGUGAAAACAGUGGAACAGCUGGUGAAGGUGGGAUCUAUGGUGGAGAAGGACUGGAUGGGAGCAAAGGAUUACUGGCAGAAAGUGGGCAAAUUGAACAGCAAAGAGACUACAACUAAAAGACCACCUGAACGCCAUACUGCUAAAAAUCUAGCAGGAGUAUCCAUAGCACAACCCCACCCUAUGACAUCCCUUCUAGUAGUGCCGAUAAUGAUAAAAGGACAAGAGGUGAAGGCGGUGCUGGAUACAGGGAGCACAUACACCCUUAUUCAGGAAAGCCUGUGGAGACAGUUGGGAGGGGAAGCGAAACCUGACCCUCCAGGCCCACUUCAACAGUUCAUUAUGGCUGAUGGAAAAAUGCACCAGGCGAUCAACAGGAAAACAGUCUGUUAUGAGUGGCAUGACAGGAUAUGCAGGUUGGACACCUAUAUUAUGAAGGAUGCUCACCUGGCCUUUCCCCUUAUAGCUGGUCUGGACUUCCUGAGAGCCGCUGAAGCCAUAGUGGAUGUGGGACAAUGGAGAUAUGGACUGAAAAUGGGCAAAGGAUAUAUCCAUUUCUCUCUGCACUUCUAAAUCCUGUGCUGUCUUCACGUCUGAUGGGUGAAAACCUAGGCAUGACCGCUGUGGUGAGUCUAUAUUAUGCCUUACCUCCAACCUGGAAUUUACCCAUAUAUGAUUUACACACACCAGUUGUUCCCAGAUGGGACUCCAAAAAUCAGGAGGAAUUAAAAAAGCUGAUGGAAAAUUGGCCUCGUACCACCUCUCAAGUCUUGGGAAAACAUCUGUGGAACAGCACAAAAUUACACUGUCCGACGAAAUGCCCAUGAGAUCCAGAGCUUAUAGGGUCUCACCGUUCAAGAAGAAGAUUAUCGAUGAGCAAGUAGAACAAAUGCUACGAGACCAUAUCAUCGAGCCUUCUUUCUCUCCUUGGUCAUCACCUGUAGUCCUGGUCCCCAAACCCGAUGGUUCCUACAGGUUGUGUGUGGACUAUAGGAGGCUUAAUAGUAAGACCGUACCUGACGCUUAUCCAAUGCCAAUCAUUCAUGACAUCUUAGAAUCCAUGGAAGGCGCCUCCUGGUUCAGCACAUUGGAUUUGCAGUCAGGGUACUGGCAGGUAGAAAUGGAGGAAAGUAGUAAAGAGAAAACAGCCUUCAUCACCUCCCAAGGUCUAUUCCAGUUCCGCUCCAUGCCAUAUGGAUUACGGAAUGCCGCUGCCACCUUCCAGAGGCUGAUGGAGAAGGUCCUAGCAGAGUUGAGAGGGAAGUUUUGUUUUGUUUACAUUGAUGACAUCAUAAUCUAUUCACGGUCUUUACCAGAACAUGUACAACAUCUGAACACCAUUCUGCAAAAACUAGACCAAGCUUCGCUUACACUGAACAUGAAGAAGGGUCACUUCUUUAAGAAGCAGCUGAAGUUUCUUGGACAUAUAGUCUCAGAGAAAGGAGUGGAGGUCGAUCCUGAAAAGACCAGAGCGGUAGCUGAAUAUCCUCCUCCCAAAGAAUUUAAAACCCUCCAACGCUUCUUGGGAUUAGCCGGGUGGUACCACAAGUUCAUUCCCCAUUUUGCCGACAUCACAGCUCCAUUAAACAACCUGAAAAAGAAAGGCGUUAAGUGGGAUUGGACUCCUGAGUGCCAAACCAGCCUGGAGACUAUCAAACAAAUAUUACAAAACCCCCCAGUAUUGAUGCAACCUGACCUCAAUCAACCUUUCCAGGUUCAUACAGACGCCAGUGAUGUAGGCUUAGGAGCCAUUAUUACCCAGCAAACUCCUGAGGGGGAACGGGUAAUAGCUUACGCAUCACGAACAUUGCGUGGACCUGAAGUGAAUUAUUCGAAGGCUGAAAAAGAGUGUCUAGCUGUAGUCUGGGCAGUGGAAAAAUUGAGACAUUACCUUGAAGGAAGACAGUUAGACAUUUACAGCGACCAUGCUGCCUUAACUUGGGCCUUCAAUAGCCCUAAAACCUCCUCUCGGCUGACCCGGUGGACUCUUAGGCUGCAGCAAUUCAUCUUCCAAGUACAUCACAGAAGAGGAUGUCUGAACCUGGGACCAGAUGCCUUGUCAUGAGUCUGUGAAGCUCCUGAAAGUGAAAGUGUGCCCUGUCUAGCCAUAGUAAAAUUAAAAUGUGCCUCUGACAUACCCCACACGUUAGAGGAAAUCUCACAAGCACAAAGUCAUGACAAUACGGUGUCUCUCCUCCAACUGGCCCAAAAAACCAGAAAGGUUCAGGAUAACCAAAUUACCUUUGAGGUCCACCAGGGGGUGUUAUAUCGCCGGGUUCCUGUCAAGAACAAUGGAAAUAAAUUCCAACUGGUUGUUCCUCAGGCAGUAAUUCCUGGUUUCUUGCAUUACGUACACGAUAACCCGCUGGGAGGACAUCUGGGACGGCUGAAAACCUUACUGAGGCUCUUGGAGGUGGCGUGGUGGCCAACUGUCCGUAAGGAUGUCUGGCAGUACGUCAAAGGAUGCGAAACAUGUCAAAAAUAUAAACGCGAAAAUACAAAACCAAGCGGAUUCUUACAACAGACGCAAGUGACAGAACCAAGUCACACCUUGGGGAUGGAUUUUAUGGGACCUUUUCCUAUCAGUAAAAAACAGAACACUUACCUUCUGGUCAUAGUUGACUAUUACACCAAAUGGGUAGAGAUGUUCCCCCUUAGAGAUAGUAAAACACAGAAGAUCGUCAAAAUUCUCAGGGAAGAAAUCUUCACCCGAUGGGGGGUCCCAAAAUACAUCAUUUCUGACCGGGGAGCACAAUUCACUUCUAACGUACUGUCAGAGCUUUGCAGGUCCUGGGGAAGCAUCCAAAAACUCACUACCAGUUACCAUCCAGAAAGAAUAAACAGGACAGUAAAAACUAUGAUUGCGUCAUAUGUGGGACAAUACCAUCAAACAUGGGACCAGUGGUUACCUGAGCUGAGGUAUGCUAUCAACACGGCACACCAAGAAACAACAGGGAGAACUCCGGCGGAAUUAAUGCUGGGCAGACAGCUUCACGGUCCACUAGAGAGGUUGAUCCUCAAAAACCCCACUCCUGACCAAACAUCAUAUAAUAUAAUUGAAAGACAGAACAUCACGGCAGAGGAGGUAAAGCACCGAGUAGGGGUGCAACAAUCUAGACAAGCUAGAUACUAUAAUGCCCGACGGAAAGAUGCGCAGUUUCAGCCGGGUGAUCUAGUCUGGGUUAAAUCUCACCCUCUCUCGUCUUUUCGAAUAAAUACUCUGCUAAGCUAGCGCCCAAGUGGGAGGGCCCAGCUGAAGUAAUAAAAAAAAUGGGGCCAAUAAAUUACACUGUUCGUUGGGGAGACCCAUGUAAAACAGAAAUUUUAAAUGUGGUUAACCUAAAACGCUGGUACGGACGAUCUCCUCCUAUGCCGAUGGCUGGGGGGGGGGGAUCUAUGUAGCGUGGCCACAUAAAGGGGAUGUUAUAUAUAUAAGGUUUAUGACAUAAAACUAAUUAUGUUAGUCAUUAUUGCCUUUAAGUUGUAUUGCUUUUCCCCUGUAUUCUGUAUUUCCUCAUCUGUGGUGUAUUGAUCCCGAUUUCUGUUCACGCGAGAACUUCGCGUGGUUCCGCGUCACGUGUUGUACUGCCACGUACAGGAAAAGACUAUUAUUUUCUAUUUAAGGAACCGGUAUGCCAGUUUUCAAGGAGAGACGCUCAUUCAAGAGUACGCUUAUUUCUCCAAACCGUUGAUUCACAAUUAGAUUUACACUAGACUGACCUGGAAGCGCUAGGUCGCCGUUCCUCUGGGAAGUAUAUACAUUUGGCUCGCUGCCAGGAUUAUUUUUAUUCUGAGGACAUUCGCCAGUCAACAUCAACACAAGAUCGUGCUCAUUGGACUAUACAGUAUCCCGGUGAGGCUGAUCCGAUCAUUUUCAUUGACUCUGAGCACUCUGGACUUCACUUUUACAUGUAUAUACACCAAAUCUUGUAGUAUUGUAAAUAUUAUUUGGGGUUUGUAAAUACACUUGAGUUUAUUGGUUUUUCAUCAGUGUUGAUAUAUUUUUUUAUUCCACGCCAUAGCCUAUCUAUAGAAACAAGUUCAGUUUGUUCCCAUUAUAGUGUGAAACUCCACUUAAAGAUUUUGGGGAGUGUUACAGCAUUUAGCAUGUUAAACAUGCUAACCAAACAAUUUUCUUUUGAAAUUUAGGUGGCUUCUUUUUCAAGCUGUUCAAUAACCCUCAUGGCAUGAUGUUGAUGACGCAUGCCACUUUUAUUUCAAUUCUGACAAAGCUUUGCCGCUUCUGGUCUUGCCCCUAAUAAUGGCAUAUGGUAAUCAUAAGAAAACUCCACUGACAUAGAUAAAUAGUGGUUGCAGGUUAAAUCUUAGUCUGGAAUAGACAGCCCUGCAGAAAGUGUUAAUGAUGUUCUAAAUCUUUUUUUCUCACAAUCUUAUUGAAGGCCGAGUGACAAAGACCAAAGACGGUCAUGAGGUGCGCACGUGUAAAGUGGCCGACAAGACAGGCAGCAUCAGUAUAUCAGUUUGGGAUGAGGUUGGGGGACUCAUUCAGGCUGGUGACAUCAUCAGACUUACCAAAGGGUUCUGCAUGGUGUACUCUGAGGUGCCAAACUUUAGUGAACCAAAUCCAGAAUAUUUGGCCCAGACAAAUAAAACAGUACUGAAUGACCAGAGCAACGUGAACAGCAGCACUGCUGCCUCUAC